rnacentral:lncRNA from 10 species
GUUGGUUUUAUUUAUUUAUUUGGACAGAGUCUCACUCUGUUGUCUGGGCUGGAGUGCAGUGGUGCAAUCUCAGCUCACUGUAACCUCUGCCUCCCAGGUUCAAACGAUUCUCCUGCCUCAGCUUCCAGGGUAGCUGGGAUUACAGGCGCCCACCACCACACCCAGCUUAUUUUUGUGUUUUUGGUAGAGACAGGGUUUCACCAUAUUGACCAAGCUGGUCUCAAACUCCUGAUCUCAAGUGAUCUGCCCACCUCGGCCUCCCAAAGUGCUGGGAUUACAGGCGUGAGCCACCGUGCCGGGCCAUGCGCCAUCUUUGUUUCUGUUCCAGAUGCCUGGGAGUCCUUCCAUCUCUUCCCUCACCCCCCACAGCCAACCCUUUAGCAAGGACUUUUCCUCAAUAUUUCUCAUAUCUGCCUCUUCCUUCCACCCCCACGGCCACCACUUUAAUUCAGAACUUGGAUCACUGAGAUGGCCCCUAAUGGUUUCACUGCCUUCUUCUGCCCUUCCCUAGUCCAUUGUCCAUAUGGCAACCCGGGGCAGGUGCAGUUUGGAAAGGAGGUGGCACUACCUGGUAAUGCUGAAGCUGUGUAUACUUCUAGCUCCUUCCCCUUUGCACCAGGGCACUUGCAGUAGGAAAGUCACAGCGACAUUGUCUGCAAAGCAAGAAACUGGAAAUGUCCAGGCACAGCAGCUCACGCCUAUAAUCGCAGCACUCUGGGAGGCCAAGGUGGGUGGAUCACUUGAGCCCAGGAGUUUGAGACCAGCCUGGGCAACAUAGUGAGACGCCCAUCUCUAUAAAAAAAGAAGAAAGUGGAAACAACUCAAAUCUCCAUCAACAACAGUGGAUUCUUUUCCUGUUGCUGCUCUAACCAGUUACCCCAAACUCAGCGGCUGAAACACACACAUUUAUUAUCUUACAGAGCUGGAGGUCAGGAGUCCAAAAUGAUUUUACUGAACUAAAAUCAACAAGUCAGCAGGAUCCUUGGCCGGGCACGGUGGCUCACGCCUGUAAUCCCAGCAGUUUGGGAGGCUGAGGCAGGCAGAUCACCUGAGGUCAGGAGUUCGAGACCAGCCUGACCAACAUGGAGAAACCCCGUCUCUUCUAAAAAUAUAAAAUUAGUCAGACGUGGUGGCGCAUGCCUGUAAUCCCAGCUACUCGGGAGGCUGAGGCAGGGGAAUAGCUUGAACCCAGGAGAUGGAGGUUGCAGUGAGCUGAAAUUGUGCCAUUGCACUCCAGCCUGGGCAACAAGAGCAAAACUCCGUCUCAAAAAAAAAAAAAAAAUUCCUUGUGAUUCCACUGGGCCCACCAGGAUAAUCCAGGAUCAUCUCCCAUCUCCAGGCCGGGUGAUUAGCAACCUUUGUUCUCCCUUGCCGUUAAAGGAACAUUUUUGAAAGUUUCAGAGAUUAGGAUGUGGUCAUAUUUACAGGCCAUUUUUCUGCCUCCCCACACAGUUACCCACACAGUUACCCAUCGCAUAAUAGGGCUGGGGCUGGGGGAUGUGAGCAGAAUCCCUCCAUACCCAACAUAUAACCACGCGAGGCCCCCAGCUGAGGGCCCGGUGUGUUGGGCAGAGAGCUGAAGGCAGGGGAACACUGUCCAGUCGCUGCACAGCAGUGUGAGGAAAGGAAGAGGAGUCGUCUGUAAAAACCCAUUGACUGUGCUCAUUUCACACUGCGUGCCUCUAUCAAAACAUCUCUAGCCAGGCGCGGUGGCUCAUGCCUGUAAUCCCAGCAUUUUGCAAGGGUGAGGCAAGCAGACCACCUGAGGUCAGGAGUUCGAGACCAGUCUGGCCAACAUGGCAAAACCCCGUCUCUACUAAAAAUCCUAAAAUUAGCCAGGGCCUGGUGGCGCGUGCCU